CCUACGGGUGGCAGCAGUGAGGAAUAUUGGUCAAUGGGCGCGAGCCUGAACCAGCCAAGUCGCGUGAGGGAGGACGGCCCUACGGGUUGUAAACUUCUUUUGCCGGGGAGCAACGGGCGCCACGUGUGGCGUCACUGAGAGUACCCGGAGAAAAAGCAUCGGCUACCUCCCUGCCAGAAGUCGCGGUAAUCCGGAGGAUGCGAGCGUUAUCGGGUGUUAUGGGGUUUAAGGGAUGCGAAGGCGGUUCGUUAAGUCAGUGGUAAAAUUGCGGGGCUCAACCCGUUACCGCCAUUGAAACUGGCGUUCUUGAGUGAAAGAGAGGAAUGCGGAAUGCGUGGUGUAGCGGUGAAAUGCAUAGAUAUCACGCAGAACCCCGAUUGCGAAGGCAGCAUGCCGGCUUCCGACUGACGCUGAAGCACGAAAGCGUGGGGAUCGAACAGGAUUAGAUACCCCUGUAGUC
rnacentral:rRNA from 1 species